UCCAGGAAAGAUUAUGGUGUCUUUAGGGAAGGCUCCAUCAGGUAAAUACCUGACACACAAUAAAUGUUACCAUUACAGUCAUCUCGUGGCGAUGGAGAGGGGGAUGCUUAAUCUCUCUCCAUCUAAAUUUGACACUGAACUAAGGCCAGCAGCAGCAGUCUAAAGAGCCCCGGCUGUGUCUCCACCAACAGCACACAGGACGGAGCCAACAGCGAUGGUUUCCAGACCUGCCGAGCCUGAUG